AGCCGACUGGGGAGAUGGGACUAAGACAAUUUGCCAUGUUUAGUCUGUGGUUUUGUGACAACCUAGUGAUGUUAAGAGAAAAUUAAAUACUCGAUAAAAGAGCUUAUUUUAAAAGAUUACAAGCGAAGGGGUCUAGAUUUGGGCUUCUCCUGCGACAUUAAACAUGAGGAUUCACUGUCCAAAUAUGGCUUCUGCAUAUAAGACUCCGAAUUGCAUUUGGUUCCGCUUUCCGACACAGUUAUCUUCUUGGGCGUGGAUUAAAUGAAGAUCUGGGUGUUGAAAGACAUUUACAUAAGUGCUAUUUGUGAACAGGAAGGCCAGUUCUUCUAUUAUCGCCAGAAUAUUUAAAUCUUAAUGACUGGCAUUGUUGUCUAAAAGACGGUGUUUUUCCUGCUGAGAAACUGCAUUAGAUUCAAGAAACGAAGCUCAUUUCCAUUCUCUCAGCAGUCUCUCUAGAAAUGACAUGCAGUGCUUGAAACUGUUUAUUUCCAAAUUCAGGCCUCCCUCGCAUCAGUCAUCAGCUUCAAUUACCAGUUUUCCGGAGCCGAGCCAUCAGGCAGUCUGACACC
rnacentral:lncRNA from 1 species